UACGUAGGGGCCAAGCGUUGUCCGGAUUUAUUGGGCGUAAAGAGCUCGUAGGCGGUUCGGCAAGUCAGCUGUGAAAUCUCCACGCUCAACGUGGAGGGGUCAGCUGAUACUGCUGUGACUUGAGUCCGGUAGGGGAGAGUGGAAUUCCUGGUGUAGCGGUGAAAUGCGUAGAUAUCAGGAGGAAUACCGGUGGCGAAAGCGACUCUCUGGACGGCAACUGACGCUGAGGCACGAAAGCGUGGGGAGCAAACAGG
rnacentral:rRNA from 1 species